rnacentral:rRNA from 1 species
GUCAGCUCGUGUUGUGAAAUGUUGGGUUAAGUCCCGCAACGAGCGCAACCCUUAUCCUUUGUUGCCAGCGAUUCGGUCGGGAACUCAAAGGAGACUGCCGGUGAUAAACCGGAGGAAGGUGGGGAUGACGUCAAGUCAUCAUGGCCCUUACGAGUAGGGCUACACACGUGCUACAAUGGCGCAUACAAAGAGAAGCGACCUCGCGAGAGCAAGCGGACCUCACAAAGUGCGUCGUAGUCCGGAUCGGAGUCUGCAACUCGACUCCGUGAAGUCGGAAUCGCUAGUAAUCGUGGAUCAGAAUGCCACGGUGAAUACGUUCCCGGGC